GAUGAAGAACUUAGCUAAAUGCGAUAAGUAAUGUGAAUUGCAGAAUUCAGUGAAUCAUCGAAUCUUUGAACGCACAUUGCGCCCGCCAGUAUUCUGGCGGGCAUGCCUGUCUGAGCGUCAUUUCAACCCUCAUGCCCCUAGGGCGUGGUGUUGGGGAUCGGCCAAAGCCCGCGAGGGACGGCCGGCCCCUAAAUCUAGUGGCGGACCCGUCGUGGCCUCCUCUGCGAAGUAGUGAUAUUCCGCAUCGGAGAGCGACGAGCCCCUGCCGUUAAACCCCCAACUUUCCAAGGUUGACCUCAGAUCAGGUAGGAAUACCCGCUGAACUUAAGCAUAUCAAUAAGCGGAGGA
rnacentral:misc_RNA from 1 species